UACUAGAGUAGCACUCGCAUAUCAAUAAGCGGAGGAAAAGAAACUAACAAGGAUUCCCCUAGUAACGGCGAGUGAAGCGGGAAGAGCUCAAAUUUGAAAUCUUAAAGGGUUUCCCUUUACGAAUUGUAGUUUAAAGAAGUGUUUUCUGUUGAGGUUUUGGUAAAAGUUCUUUGGAAUAGGACAUCAUAGAGGGUGAGAAUCCCGUAUUUGACCUUUACUUUCAACUUUGUGAUACACUUUCAAAGAGUCGGAUUGUUUGGGAAUGCAGUCCAAAAUGGGUGGUAAAUUUCAUCUAAAGCUAAAUAUUGGCGAGAGACCGAUAGCGAACAAGUACCGUGAGGGAAAGAUGAAAAGAGCUUUGAAAAGAGAGUUAAACAGUACGUGAAAUUGUCAAAAGGGAAGCGUUUGACACCAGUGUUGUUUUUCUGAAAAUCAAUUAAAGAACUGUUUAUGCUAAGCUGUUUAGACUUUAUCAGCUAUACUGUUUAGUUUUGAGCUUUUCUUUAAUGCACUUUUCAGUUAACAAGUCAACAUCAAUUUCUUUUGCUGUAAAAAAGCUUGAGGAAGGUGGCUUGAGAUUCGUCUUAAGUGUUUAUAGCCUCUUGCCUAUGCAGUCGGAGAGAUUGAGGUCUGCAGCGUAGAUCCUUCGGGGCUAAAUGCAUUUGUGCUAAGUUAUAGCAUUUCAUAGACAACUUGUUGACUAUGAUUUGUCUUGUAGCUUACUCGCUUAUGUUAUUUUACCUACGCUUAGGAUGUUGAUAUCGCGCUCUCACUG
rnacentral:rRNA from 1 species